GAAAGUUUGCUGGGAGAUGAAAUGGUAAGGCUCCGAUCAGCGACAUGGUGUAACCUGUGGAAGAGCUGGAAGCAACAGCAACAAACCAGUGGAAACUCUGCAGUGACUGGGGGUCUGAACUAAAGCCAAGAUUCUAAUAUCUCUAUUCUGAGAUGGGGAGACCAGAACUCUAUGCAGUAUCCAAGGAGUGCCUCAUGGAAUAUAUCUUUGACAUUCCUCUUCCAGAUUCAAGACAGCCUUAAACAACCAACGUCUUGCAUAAAGACCAGUUCAUUUACAAGUGUGGGUUUCCCGUAAUGUAAGACUCAUGCAUAUGAACUACUGUAAACAAGAACCUCUCCCUAUCCUCUUGUCAGGGAGUUGUUUUUGAAGCAGUUCUCUAGAAUUCAUCACCACUUACCCCCUUUGCCCCAACUUGAAGCACGAUCAUUGCACACAACAUCUUCCCACCCGGAUGCAGUGCCUGCCAAUGCUAGUCCAAGCAUCAGCCAUUUGAAAGCAAUGCAAAAUGCUUUCCCUGUAGUGGCCUAUAUUACCACUAGCUAGAUCUGAGCGAAUAAUUGGGUUUUUUUGUUUUG